CCUACGGGAGGCAGCAGUGGGGAAUAUUGGACAAUGGGGGGAACCCUGAUCCAGCCAUGCCGCGUGUGUGAAGAAGGCCCUCGGGUUGUAAAGCACUUUCAGUGAGGAAGAACGCCUGGUGGUUAAUACCCAUCAGGAAAGACAUCACUCACAGAAGAAGCACCGGCUAACUCCGUGCCAGCAGCCGCGGUAAUACGGAGGGUGCGAGCGUUAAUCGGAAUUACUGGGCGUAAAGCGCGCGUAGGUGGCUUGAUAAGCCGGUUGUGAAAGCCCCGGGCUCAACCUGGGAACGGCAUCCGGAACUGUCAAGCUAGAGUGCAGGAGAGGAAGGUAGAAUUCCCGGUGUAGCGGUGAAAUGCGUAGAGAUCGGGAGGAAUACCAGUGGCGAAGGCGGCCUUCUGGACUGACACUGACACUGAGGUGCGAAAGCGUGGGUAGCAAACAGGAUUAGAUACCCGAAUAGUC
rnacentral:rRNA from 1 species